AGCGAACGCUGGCGGUAGGCCUAACACAUGCAAGUCGAACGGCAGCACAGUAAGAGCGUGCUAUUACGGGGGGCCAGUGGCGGACGGGUGAGGAAUACAUCGGAACCUACUUUUUCGGGGGGGAUAACGUAGGGAAACUUACGCUAAUACCGAAGACGACCCAGGGGGGUAAGGAGGGGAUCUUCGGACCUGGCGCGAUUGGAUGCGCGGAUGUGGGGUUAGAUAGUUGGCGGGGUAAAGGCCCACCAAGGCGACGAUCCGUGGCUGGUCUGAGAGAAUGUUCGCCGACACUGGAACUGGGCCACGGUCCUGACUCCUACGGGAGGCCGCAGAGUGCAAUAUUGGACAGUGGUCGCAAACCUUGUACAACCGUCCCGAGUCGGAGAAGCAGACCUCCGGUUUGUAAAGACCUUUUGUUGGGAAAGAACCGCAUCAGCUUAAUACCACGCUGUUCUGACGGUACCCAAAAAAUAAGCACCGGCUAACUUCGUG
rnacentral:rRNA from 1 species